rnacentral:rRNA from 1 species
GUGGGGAAUAUUGGACAAUGGGGGGAACCCUGAUCCAGCCAUGCCGCGUGUGUGAAGAAGGCCUUUUGGUUGUAAAGCACUUUAAGCGAGGAGGAGGCUACCGAGAUUAAUACUCUUGGAUAGUGGACGUUACUCGCAGAAUAAGCACCGGCUAACUCUGUGCCAGCAGCCGCGGUAAUACAGAGGGUGCAAGCGUUAAUCGGAUUUACUGGGCGUAAAGCGGGCGUAGGUGGCCAAUUAAGUCAAAUGUGAAAUCCCCGAGCUUAACUUGGGAAUUGCAUUCGAUACUGGUUGGCUAGAGUAUGGGAGAGGAUGGUAGAAUUCCAGGUGUAGCGGUGAAAUGCGUAGAGAUCUGGAGGAAUACCGAUGGCGAAGGCAGCCAUCUGGCCUAAUACUGACACUGAGGUGCGAAAGCAUGGGGAGCAAACAGGAUUAGAAACCCUUGUAGUCC